UUUACGCAUAUUAUUCAUAUUUUCAAUUUACCUAAUGCAAAUGCUAUGUUAGAAGAACAAUUUCUAAAGAAGGGGUUGACAUAUGAAUUGUGAAUACAGGACUUUAUUUAGAUAAAACAGCUGGCGCCAUUGCUAGCAUGUUUUUUAAACGCUAGUUUUGUUUCUCGUGUGUUUAAAAACCGAGCUAGCAGCGCUAAGCUUUCUCUGUGACAACUUUGGACAGAAAUGACAAUAAAUAUCAACAAGUGGAAGGAAAUGUGACAAGACGUCGAAGAACGAGAAGAGAAAAAGAAAUGUCGACACAAAAAGGAGGAAGAGAUGAAAGGGAUACCAAACAGGGAAGAAACAAGCAAAUAACCACUGAAGAUGACAACGAGGAAUGCAGCAAGAGACAACAAAUUAAGGGCGGGUUUUAAAUCAAAAUUUUAUUAUUUUGCAAGACUACAAUGGAAACACUUUUUGCGUCACGCGAGUCACAUAUUCAACAACAGGAUGUUGCUACUGGCGCAAACCACAAAGAAGAAGACGGCAGGAAGUAGUUGGAAGAUCAUGACAUGUUUUUUAAUGACUAAUGGCGUAAACAGACUUAUUCACAUACCAUUUUAAUUCUGUUUCUUAUUUAGUGGAAAAAAUGCAAUAGUGAAAUUGUAU